GAUCAUGGCUCAGGAUGAACGCUAGCUACAGGCUUAACACAUGCAAGUCGAGGGGAAACGACAUCGAAAGCUUGCUUUUGAUGGGGCGUCGACCGGCGCACGGGUGAGUAACGCGUAUCCAACCUGCCCACCACUUGGGGAUAACCUUGCGAAAGUAAGACUAAUACCCAAUGAUAUCCCACGAAGGCAUCCGAAUGGGAUUAAAGAUUUAUCGGUGAUGGAUGGGGAUGCGUCUGAUUAGCUUGUUGGCGGGGUAACGGCCCACCAAGGCUACGAUCAGUAGGGGGUUCUGAGAGGAAGGUCCCCCACAUUGGAACUGAGACACGGUCCAAACUCCUACGGGAGGCAGCAGUGAGGAAUAUUGGUCAAUGGGCGAGAGCCUGAACCAGCCAAGUAGCGUGCAGGAUGACGGCCCUAUGGGUUGUAAACUGCUUUUAUAAGGGAAUAAAGUGAGUCUCGUGAGACUUUUUGCAUGUACCUUAUGAAUAAGGACCGGCUAAUUCCGUG
rnacentral:rRNA from 1 species